rnacentral:rRNA from 1 species
AACGAACGCUGGCGGCAUGCCUAACACAUGCAAGUCGAACGAACCCUUCGGGGUGAGUGGCGCACGGGUGCGUAACGCGUGGGAACCUGCCCUUAGGUUCGGAAUAACACAGAGAAAUUUGUGCUAAUACCGGAUAAUGUCUUCGGACCAAAGAUUUAUCGCCUUUGGAUGGGCCCGCGUAGGAUUAGCUAGUUGGUGAGGUAAAGGCUCACCAAGGCGACGAUCCUUAGCUGGUCUUAGAGGAUGAUCAGCCACACUGGGACUGAGACACGGCCCAGACUCCUACGGGAGGCAGCAGUGGGGAAUAUUGGACAAUGGGCGAAAGCCUGAUCCAGCAAUGCCGCGUGAGUGAUGAAGGCCUUAGGGUUGUAAAGCUCUUUUACCCGGGAUGAUAAUGACAGUACCGGGAGAAUAAGCCCCGGCUAACUCCGUGCCAGCCGCCGCUGUAACAC